AGGUGGUAGAAUCUCCUUCCUUAGAGGUUUUUAAGAACAGGUUAGACAAACACCUGUCAGGAAUGGUCUUAGUAACUUGGUCCUGACUCAGUGUAGGGGGCUGGACUUCAUGACCUCUUGAGGUCCCAUCCAGCCCUACAUUUCUGAUUGUGUAUCAGAUAGCAUCUGUACCUGCUGCUCUGGAGAGACUUUUGACUGCAGUGACUCUGAACCUGACUUAGAGGUGUGACAUUAUUGACAUAAUCUGGGACUUCGAUGAAGUGAGCUGUAGCUCACGAAAGCUUAUGCUCUAAUAAAUUUGUUAGUCUCUAAGGUGCCACAAGUACUCCUUUUCUU